rnacentral:snoRNA from 1 species
UUCGCUAUGAUGAGGUAAAAACACUUAAAGUGUUGAUGGGCAGUGGAUUUGGAUCUUUCAAUUUUUGAAGAUCUGCCGUGAGCCCUCUUUUUAAACGACUUCUCCUUCCACUGAGCUCU